rnacentral:lncRNA from 1 species
AGUUGUCAAUUCUGGUGAGAGCCUAUAGAGUGGACUUGAAAUUGGGUUUGUGACUAUAGCACGCUGACUCACAAAAGAAGAAAUAGAUAUACAUAUUUAUAUAUAUAUUUUUAUAUUUUUAUAUAUAAUUUUUUUUUCUGGGCCAGCCUAGAGGUGAAAGCAGUUGAUCACAAGGCCAGAUCAUGCCAUCUGGAUUCUUCUAAAAAGGUACAGAAUUAAUAAACAGGAAGAUUUACAAAUCUUUAUAAAGGAUACUUUAAGAGCAGGAAAUCCCUUGUCAGGCAGAAAGCACUAUAGGCAGACAAUUCUCAUGUCCAAUGACUCCCACAUUAAAAAAAAAUGUUUCAUAUGAUUGAAAUCAUUUCAUUACCCAGCUCAUUCCUCUUAUCUGGACAUAGGUUUAUGAAGUGUGGAACCUCAUCCCAAGGCUUAAAUGGUCC